AUAACAUCAAGAAAAAAAGAGCAUGUUUAUGCACAAUUCAGGUGUUAGAGCCUUGACUUCAGUUUAGGAGAUGAGCCUUGAUGUUAGGAGGACAUUUUAUUAAGACGCUGGGUCCACUGCCCUCCAGGUGGCAGUGAAGCCUGAGUCAACCACUUUGUCGUUGGAGGAGAAGCUGAUGUGAAGCGUAUUCCCAUCACUCACCAUGUCUGCAGGAGGCACGUGACUGCAGUAGGUACCUGAGGGCGACCCUGCAAGAGCCUGAAUGAGUAAAAUCUCCUAGGCAGUGGAGCCCAUCUAUAAAACUAUUUUCAGCUAUCGGUUUGGCAGGGCCCUGCGCCACCUGGGUCUCAUCGGCA